GUCUGGUGCCAGCAGCCGCGGUAAUUCCAGCUCCAAUAGCGUACGUUAAAGUUGCUGCAGUUAAAAAGCUCGUAGUUGAACGUUCGGGUUCCGCGGGACGGGGCCGCCCCGCGAGGGACGGCGCCGCCCCGGGGCUCGUGAUAUCUCAUCUCGCCGCCCGUCGCGAGGCGGACGGAGGGAUGGAUGAGGUUACCUGGAAAAAAUCGGGGCGAUCUAGGCGGGCGAACCUCGCCAACGAACGAUCGGACAUGGGAUAACGGAAGAGGGCGUCGGCUCGACUUCGUCGGUUCCUCGGGCCGAGGCACGUACGGUGAAUAGGGACGGUCGGGGCCGCCCGUACCGGGGUCGUGAGAGGUGAAAUUCUAGGAUCGACCCGAGACGAACCGCCGCGAAAGCAUUCGGCAAGGACGCUUUUCAUUAAUCAAGAACGAAAGUCGGGGGAUCGAAGACGAUCAGAUACCGUCGUAGUCCCGACCGUAAACGAUGCCGACCGAGGGCCCGGAGGAG
rnacentral:rRNA from 1 species